GAGAGACUGAAAAACAGCUUCUAUCUCAAGGCCAUCAGACUGUUAAACAGCCACCACUAACAUUGAGUGGCUGCUGCCAACACACUGUCAAUGACACUGACUCAACUCCAGCCACUUUAAUAAUGGAAAUUGAUGGAAAAAAUAUAUCACUAGCCACUUUAAACAAUGCCACUUAAUAUAAUGUUUACAUACCCUACAUUACUCAUCUCAUAUGUAUAUACUGCACUCUAUAUCAUCUACUGCAUCUUGCCUAUGCCGAUCUGUACCAUCACUCAUUCAUAUCUUUAUGUACAUAUUCUUUAUCCCUUUACACUUGUGUGUGUAUAAGGUAGUAGUUUUGGAAUUGUUAGGUUAGAUUACUCGUUGGUUAUUACUGCAUUGUCGGAACUAGAAGCACAAGCAUUUCGCUACACUCGCAUUAACAUCUGCUAACCAUGUGUAUGUGACAAAUAACAUUUGAUUUGUUUGUCUGUUUUCUUCUGUUUGGUACCGAAUUAAUGUGACCCUGGUGUCUAAGGAGCAGGAAGCCCAAAUGGAAUAUAUCCUCUUGAAGAGAAAGAUCACACACUGGCCUCGAUUCCAUCUGACACUGCCUGUACACAAGGAGAAGAGGUCAGAGAAGGGAAAGGACUUGAAUAUGAAGAGAGGUCAGAGAAGGGAAAGGACUUGAAUAUGAAGAGAGGUCAGAGAAGGGAAAGGACUUGAAUAUGAAGAGAUCAGAGAAGGGAAAGGACUUGAAUAUGAAGAGAGGUCAGAGAAGGGACAGAACUUGAAUAUGAAGAGAGGUCAGAGAAGGGACAGACUUGAAUAUGAAGAGAGGUCAGAGAAGGGAAAGGACUUGUUGAAUAUGAAGAGAGGUCAGAGAAGGGAAAGGACUUGAAUAUGAACAGAGGUCAGAGAAGGGAAAGGACUUGAAUAUGAAGAGAGUUCAGAGAAGGGAAAGGACUUGUUGAAUAUGAAGAGAGGUCAGAGAAGGGAAAGGACUUGUUGAAUAUGAAGAGAGGUCAGAGAAGGGAAAGGACUUGUUGAAUACGAAGAGAGGUCAGAGAAGGGAAAGGACUUGAAUAUGAAGAGAGG
ensembl:lncRNA